rnacentral:sRNA from 1 species
GUUGGGCAGACUGGCAUGUGCCUGUAUUCCCUGCUACUCAGGAGGAUGAGUGAGGAAAAUCGCUUGAGCACAGGACUUCAGGAUCAGUAUUGUGACUUCCUGGGAGCGGGAAACCACCACAUUGCUUAAGAAGAAGUGAGCCAGCCCAGGUUGUAAAUGGAGAAGGUCAAAACUCCUGUGCUGAUCAGCAGUGGGAUAGCACCUGUGAAUAGCCACUGCACUCC